rnacentral:rRNA from 1 species
AUUGAACGCUGGCGGCAGGCCUAACACAUGCAAGUCGAACGAGUGGAGGAGGGGUGAGUAAUGUCUGGGAACAUGCCUGAUGGAGGGGGAUAACUACUGGAAACGGUAGCUAAUACCGCAUACCAUCGGAUGAGCCCUGAUGGGAUUAGCUAGUAGGUGGGGUAAAGGCUCACCUAGGCGACGAUCCCUAGGUGUUCGGAGAGGAUGACCAGCCAAACUGGAACUCAGACACGGUCCAGACUCCUACGGGAGGCAGCAGUGGGGAAUAUUGCACAAUGGGCGCAAGCCUGAUGCAGCCAUGCCGCGUGUAUGAAGAAGGCCUUCGGGUUGUAAAGUACUUUCAGCGGGGAAGCGGUACCCGCAGAGAAAGCACCGGCUAACUCCGUGCCAGCAGCCGCGGUAAUAC